rnacentral:rRNA from 1 species
ACUUAGACUAAUUAUGUAAUUUUUUCUUACCUAAGGGUAUAAACAUAAAUACAAUACUCCUAGUUUAACUGUUUUUGGUUGGGGUGACCGAGGGGUAAAACAAAACCCCCUUAUCGACCGAACACUUAGUGUUUGAAAAUUAGAAUAACAAUUCUAAUUAAUAAAAUAUUUAUCGAAAAAUGACCCAGGAUUUCCUGAUCAAUGAACCA